GCUUAGCUCAGUGGUAGAGCGCUACCUUGCCAAGGUAGAUGUCGAGGGUUCAAAUCCCUUAGC
rnacentral:tRNA from 1 species